AAAACUGCAGUCGAUUGGUCAAUUAUCACCUGGCGGCUGGCAAGUAGAUUUUGUCUUGUGGACGUCUGUAUUUGUUUAUAUUUGAAAUUAUUUUGUAGAAAUAUUUUGAAUUUCAUUUUAAAAAUGACCCAGCAAAAUGAAGAUAUUGCCCUAUUUGAUAAGCACAUUUUGGAAAAAAUUAGAUUUUUUCAAAAUUCAAGUCCAAUUUCAAUCCAUCACUAAGCGUAACUGAGCCUGGUAGUGGAUUCCUUGUCCGCCCCCUUCAGUCUUCAGACUACAAUGCUGGUUUUAUAGAACUACUCGGACAACUCACUUCAACUGGAAGAUAUCUCAUACAAUGAGUUUGAGGGUGAGUUUUGUCCAUCUCUAAGUAACU